rnacentral:rRNA from 1 species
UACGGGGGGGGCAAGCGUUGUUCGGAAUUACUGGGCGUAAAGGGCUCGUAGGUGGCCAACUAAGUCAGACGUGAAAUCCCUCGGCUUAACCGGGGAACUGCGUCUGAUACUGGAUGGCUUGAGUGUGGGAGAGGGAUGCGGAAUUCCAGGUGUAGCGGUGAAAUGCGCAGAUAUCGAGAGGAACACCAGUGGCGAAGGCGAGUCCCUGGACAACUCCUGACACUGAGGCACGAAAGCUAGGGGAGCAAACAGG